rnacentral:rRNA from 1 species
AUGUGGGUGGCCCUGCUCAGUACAAAGGAUGAAGCUCUCGGUGCACUCAGGAAAAUUCAGGCCGCAGCAGAGACAGAAAGGAAUCUGAAACUUGCAGCCAUAAGAACUGAUCGUGGUGGGGAGUUCACCUCAAAUUCCUUUGCCAGCUACUGUGAAGAUCGAGGAAUCAAACACUAUCUCACAGCACCAUAUACACCACAGCAAAAUGGUGUAGUGGAGAGGAGGAAUCAGACAGUGGUCGGGAUGGCUAGGAGUUUGCUAAAAAGCAUGGGUAUGCCUGCAAAAUUCUGGGGGGAGGCUGUUGCUACUGCAGUCUACCUAUUGAAUCGAUCUCUAACCAAGAGCGUGCGUGGAAUGACGCCCUAUCAAGCCUGGCACGGAAGGAAACCGAAUGUGCAACACCUGCGCACGUUUGGAUGCGUAGCUCAUGUGAAGCGCAUCGGUCCAGGAAUAAACAAGCUCUCUGACAGAAGUUCACAGAUGGUUUUUAUCGGGUACGAACAGGGGUCAAAAGCUUACCGUUUGUAUGAUCCAUCAAAGAGGAAGCUUGUUGUGUCUCGAGACGUGGUCUUUAAAGAGGACAGGUGCUGGGAUUGGCAAGAAGGAGCAGCCGCUGCUAGCAGCGAGGAAGCCACGUUCACUGUUCAUUAUCCGGCACGGGGUGCAGACGUUGAAGCGAGUCCUAUCACUGAGACAGGUGAAGUGGCAGUAACACCCACAACACCUCAGACUGCAGUGAGGACAUGUCGAGCCAGAGACACUGAGGAGGCCACACCCUCGAUUGGUACACCGGUGCAGCAAACACCGGUACCCAUGGACACUCUUGAAAGUCCUUGGACUGAACCAUCUGAAGGGCCACAAGGAAAAAGGUCUCUGAAUGACAUCUAUGAUGAUUCAUCGGAGAUUGACAUGCCCUAUUCCGGGCUCUGCUUGCUUGGCACCGGGGAGCCAAGUACAUUUGCUAAAGCUGAGAAACAAGCAUGUUGGCAGAGAGCUAUGAAGGAAGAGAUGGAUUCUAUUGUCAGUAAUAAUACAUUGAAGAUGUGUGAGUUGCCGAAAGGACAAAAACCAAUUGGGUUAAAAUGGAUCUAUAAGCUUAAGAAGGACUCAUCUAGAAAUGUGGUGAAACACAAAGCUCGGCUAGUUGCGAAGGGGUACGUGCAGCGUCAAGGAAUUGAUUUUGACGAAGUUUUCGCACCUGUUGCAAGGAUGGAAACCGUGAGACUGCUUCUAGCACUAGCAGCAAAUGAGGGCUGGGAAAUUCACCACAUGGAUGUAAAAUCCGCAUUUCUCAACGGUGAACUCGAGGAAGAGGUAUAUGUUGCACAGCCGUCAGGUUUCGUUGUUGAGGGAGAGGAGCACAAGGUGCUUAAGCUGCACAAGGCCUUAUAUGGGCUCAGACAGGCACCUAGGGCAUGGAAUGCUAAACUAGAUAGGACACUGAUCAAUCUCGGCUUUGAGAAGUGUCCAUCAGAGCUAGCUCUCUACAAGCGAAACAAAAAGGGUGCAGCACUGUUAGUCGGUGUGUACGUGGAUGAUUUAGUCAUUACUGGAAGAAAUGUUGCUGACAUUGAAGCCUUCAAGGUUCAGAUGAAAUCAUUAUUCAGUAUGAGCGAUCUCGGGCUACUGAGUUAUUACCUGGGAAUUGAGGUAAAGCAAACUCCUCAAGGUAUUUAUCUGAACCAAUCCGCGUAUGCAUCAAGAAUUUUGGAGAAAUGUGGAAUGAAAGACUGCAACCCUGGUCAAACUCCAAUGGAGCCCCGUCUGAAGUUGAGCAAGAUGAGCAAGGCCCCAGCAGUUGAUUGCACUUACUAUCGAAGCGUGGUGGGCAGUCUCAGAUAUCUGCUGCACACAAGGCCUGACCUGUGCUACUCUGUUGGUCUUGUAAGCAGGAACAUGGAGCGACCAACAGCAGAGCAUAUGACUGCAGUGAAACACAUCCUCAGGUACAUCAGGCGAACACUGAAGUUUGGGUGUUUCUAUGAGAAGGGAAGAGAACUGCAGCUAGUUGGCUACUGUGAUAGUGACUAUGCAGGAGAUGUGGACGACAGGAAAAGCACCUCAGGUCUAUUGUUCUACCUUGGUUCAAGUCCACUUUCAUGGGUAUCACAGAAGCAAAAAGUGGUUGCCAUCUCGUCUUGUGAGGCUGAAUAUAUGGCAGCUACUUCAGGUGCUUGUCAGAGUAUUUGGUUGGCAAGAUUGCUGGCAGAAAUACUAUAUUCAGAGCCAGCCAAAGUGAAACUGAAAGUGGACAAUCAAUCUGCUAUUUCACUCAGUAAGAACCCAGUUUUUCAUGACCGCAGUAAACACAUUGACCUCAGAUAUCAUUUCGUGCGGGAGUGUGUGGUGGCUGGGAAAGUGGACAUCAGUCAUGUCAGAACAGAGGAUCAAUUGGCAGACAUCCUGACCAAGUCGCUCGGGAGGGCAAAGUUUCAGGAGCUGAGGAGUGCCAUUGGUGUGAAGGAAGUGACCUGA